GGCAGUGCGGCGUGCUAUACAUGCAGUCGAGCGGACAGAUGGGAGCUUGCUCCCUGAUGUUAGCGGCGGACGGGUGAGUAACACGUGGGUAACCUGCCUGUAAGACUGGGAUAACUCCGGGAAACCGGGGCUAAUACCGGAUGGUUGUUUGAACCGCAUGGUUCAAACAUAAAAGGUGGCUUCGGCUACCACUUACAGAUGGACCCGCGGCGCAUUAGCUAGUUGGUGAGGUAACGGCUCACCAAGGCAACGAUGCGUAGCCGACCUGAGAGGGUGAUCGGCCACACUGGGACUGAGACACGGCCCAGACUCCUACGGGAGGCAGCAGUAGGGAAUCUUCCGCAAUGGACGAAAGUCUGACGGAGCAACGCCGCGUGAGUGAUGAAGGUUUUCGGAUCGUAAAGCUCUGUUGUUAGGGAAGAACAAGUACCGUUCGAAUAGGGCGGUACCUUGACGGUACCUAACCAGAAAGCCACGGCUAACUACGUGCCAGCAGCCGCGGUAAUACGUAGGUGGCAAGCGUUGUCCGGAAUUAUUGGGCGUAAAGGGCUCGCAGGCGGUUUCUUAAGUCUGAUGUGAAAGCCCCCGGCUCAACCGGGGAGGGUCAUUGGAAACUGGGGAACUUGAGUGCAGAAGAGGAGAGUGGAAUUCCACGUGUAGCGGUGAAAUGCGUAGAGAUGUGGAGGAACACCAGUGGCGAAGGCGACUCUCUGGUCUGUAACUGACGCUGAGGAGCGAAAGCGUGGGGAGCGAACAGGAUUAGAUACCCUGGUAGUCCACGCCGUAAACGAUGAGUGCUAAGUGUUAGGGGGUUUCCGCCCCUUAGUGCUGCAGCUAACGCAUUAAGCACUCCGCCUGGGGAGUACGGUCGCAAGACUGAAACUCAAAGGAAUUGACGGGGGCCCGCACAAGCGGUGGAGCAUGUGGUUUAUUCUAAGCACCGCGAAGAACCUUACGAGUCUUGACAUCCUCUGACAAUCCUAGAGAUUGGACGCCCCUUCCGGGGAUAGAUUGACAGGCGCUGCGUGGUCUGUCGAUCAAUCUCGUGACC
rnacentral:rRNA from 1 species